rnacentral:rRNA from 1 species
CAGCAGCCGCGGUAACACGGAGGGUGCAAGCGUUAAUCGGAAUUACUGGGCGUAAAGCGUGCGUAGGCGGUUCGUUAAGUCUGUUGUGAAAGCCCCGGGCUCAACCUGGGAAUGGCAAUGGAUACUGGCGAGCUAGAGUGUGUCAGAGGAUGGUGGAAUUCCCGGUGUAGCGGUGAAAUGCGUAGAGAUCGGGAGGAACAUCAGUGGCGAAGGCGGCCAUCUGGGACAACACUGACGCUGAGGCACGAAAGCGUGGGGAGCAAACAGGAUUAGAUACCCGCGUAGUCCCUGUCUCUUAUAC